rnacentral:rRNA from 1 species
GAUGAACGCUGGCGGCGUGCCUAAUACAUGCAAGUCGAGCGAACAGACGAGGAGCUUGCUCCUCUGACGUUAGCGGCGGACGGGUGAGUAACACGUGGAUAACCUACCUAUAAUACUGGGAUAACUUCGGGAAACCGGAGCUAAUACCGGAUAAUAUAUUGAACCGCAUGGUUCAAUAGUGAAAGACGACUUUGCUGUCACUUAUAGAUGGAGUCGCGCCGCAUUGGCUAGUUGGUAAGGUAAAGGCUUAGCAAGGCAACGAUGCGUAGCCGACCUGAGAGGGAGAUCGCACACGCUGGAACUGAGACACGGUCCAGGCUCCUACGGGAUGCAGCAGUAGGAAUGCUUCCGCAAUGGGCGUAAUCCUAACGGAGCAACGCAGCGUCUUUGAUUAAGAUCUUCGGAUCCUAAACCUCUGUUAUUAGGGAAGAGCAUAUGUGUAACUAACUAUGCACUUCUUGACGUUGCCUAAUCAGGAAGGCACGGCUAACUACGUG